CUACGGGCCGCACCAGUGGGGAAUCUUGGACAAUGGGCGCAAGCCUGAUCCAGCCAUGCCGCGUGAGUGAAGAAGGCCUUAGGGUCGUAAAGCUCUUUCGCCAGAGAUGAUAAUGACAGUAUCUGGUAAAGAAACCCCGGCUAACUCCGUGCCAGCAGCCGCGGUAAUACGGAGGGGGUUAGCGUUGUUCGGAAUUACUGGGCGUAAAGCGCGCGUAGGCGGAUUAGUCAGUCAGAGGUGAAAUCCCAGGGCUCAACCCUGGAACUGCCUUUGAUACUGCUAGUCUUGAGUGCGAGAGAGGGGAGUGGAAUUCCGGGUGUAGAGGUGAAAUUCGUAGAUAUUCGGAGGAACACCAGUGGCGAAGGCGGCUCACUGGAUCGAUACUGACGCUGAGGUGCGAAAGUGUGGGGAGCAAACAGGAUUAGAUACCCUAGUAGUC
rnacentral:rRNA from 1 species